ACCAGACUCCUACGGGAGGCAGCAGUAGGGAAUAUUGCACAAUGGGGGAAACCCUGAUGCAGCGACGCCGCGUGUGGGAAGACGGUCCUCUGGAUUGUAAACCACUGUCCCCAGGGACGAAGAUGACGGUACCUGGGGAGGAAGCUCCGGCUAACUACGUGCCAGCAGCCGCGGUAAUACGUAGGGAGCAAGCGUUGUCCGGAUUUACUGGGUGUAAAGGGAGCGUAGACGGCGAUGCAAGCCAGAUGUGAAAGCCCGGGGCUCAACCCCGGGACUGCAUUUGGAACUGUAUAGCUAGAGUGUCGGAGAGGCAGGCGGAAUUCCUAGUGUAGCGGUGAAAUGCGUAGAUAUUAGGAGGAACACCAGUGGCGAAGGCGGCCUGCUGGGCUUUUACUGACGCUGAGGCUCGAAAGUGUGGGGAGCAAACAGGAUUAGAUACCCGUGUA
rnacentral:rRNA from 1 species